AGAGUUUGAUCCUGGCUCAGGACGAACGCUGGCGGCGUGCUUAACACAUGCAAGUCGAACGGAAAGGCCCUUCGGGGUACUCGAGUGGCGAACGGGUGAGUAACACGUGGGUGAUCUGCCCUGCACUUUGGGAUAAGCCUGGGAAACUGGGUCUAAUACCGAAUAUGACCACGCGCUUCAUGGUGUGUGGUGGAAAGCUUUUGCGGUGUGGGAUGGGCCCGCGGCCUAUCAGCUUGUUGGUGGGGUAAUGGCCUACCAAGGCGACGACGGGUAGCCGGCCUGAGAGGGUGACCGGCCACACUGGGACUGAGAUACGGCCCAGACUCCUACGGGAGGCAGCAGUGGGGAAUAUUGCACAAUGGGCGCAAGCCUGAUGCAGCGACGCCGCGUGAGGGAUGACGGCCUUCGGGUUGUAAACCUCUUUCAAUAGGGACGAAGCGCAAGUGACGGUACCUAUAGAAGAAGGACCGGCCAACUACGUGCCAGCAGCCGCGGUAAUACGUAGGGUCCGAGCGUUGUCCGGAAUUACUGGGCGUAAAGAGCUCGUAGGUGGUUUGUCGCGUUGUUCGUGAAAACUCACAGCUUAACUGUGGGCGUGCGGGCGAUACGGGCAGACUAGAGUACUGCAGGGGAGACUGGAAUUCCUGGUGUAGCGGUGGAAUGCGCAGAUAUCAGGAGGAACACCGGUGGCGAAGGCGGGUCUCUGGGCAGUAACUGACGCUGAGGAGCGAAAGCGUGGGGAGCGAACAGGAUUAGAUACCCUGGUAGUCCAA
rnacentral:rRNA from 1 species